CGUCUAUAUACGUAUAGCAUAUCAAUAAGCGGAGGAAAAGAAACUAACAAGGAUUCCCUUAGUAACGGCGAGUGAAGCGGGAAGAGCUCAAAUUUGAAAUCUUCAAGGUUCUACCUUGACGAAUUAUAGUUUAAAGAAGUGUUUUCUGUUAGAGGAGUAGGCAAAAGUUCCUUGGAAUAGGGACAUCAUAGAGGGUGAGAAUCCCGUAUUUGGUUAUUCUUUCUAGCUGUGUGAUACACUUUCAAAGAGUCGGAUUGUUUGGGAAUGCAGUCCAAAAUGGGUGGUAAAUUUCAUCUAAAGCUAAAUAUUGGCGAGAGACCGAUAGCGAACAAGUACCGUGAGGGAAAGAUGAAAAGAACUUUGAAUAGAGAGUUAAACAGUACGUGAAAUUGUCAAAAGGGAAGCGUUUGACACCAGUGUUGUUUUUCCGAAAAUCAAUUAAGAGUGGCUUGAUUUUGUGUUGUAUUGACCUUAUCAGCUUUCUUCACUCUUUUUCGAGUCUUUCUUAAUGCACUUUUCGGUUAACAAGUCAACAUCAAUUUCUUUUGUUGUAAAAGGGUAUUUGGAAGGUGGCUUUCUUUUCGGAGAAAGUGUUUAUAGCCUUAUACCUCUACAAUCGGAGAGAUUGAGGUCUGCAGCGUAGAUCCUUCGGGGUUAGAUACACUUGUGCUAAGUUAUAGCCCUGUAUAGACAACUUGUUGACUAUACUCGGUCAUGUAGCUUACUCGCUUGUGCUAUUUUACCUACGCUUAGGAUGUUGAGUCAUCACACAUCUCU
rnacentral:rRNA from 1 species